rnacentral:other from 1 species
AGCAGGACACAUUAGGAUGAUGUUGCUUCAGGAAGGAGCGAGGACACACUCAGGAAGAGUGAUAAAGGAUGUGCCACAGGAUGUUGGCCAAGGACACUUCAGGAUUGAAGUAAAGGACACCUCCAGGACGGAGAUUGAGAGCCAGUUAGGAUAACAGGCGGGUCAGGAAGACUGAGGAACAGCAUCUGGAUGAUGCAGGAUGAAACGUCAGGACGAAAGUGGGACGAGACGACGGAUUGUCGGGAAAUGGAUAGCCAUACGGAAAAGUUUUCAUGGAUGAGCAGGGAGCACAAUGAGUAGCUGGAUUGCUAUAAAACGAACCGGGCGUACUGUGUAAACAGUACGCCCUUUUUCUU